CGUCAAAUCAUCAUGCCCUUUAUGUCCUGGGCAACACACGUACUACAAUGGUCGUAACAGAGAGAGACGAAGCAGCAAUGUGGAGUGAAACUGAAAAAAGCGAUCUCAGUUCGGAUUGAAGGCUGAAAUUCGCCUUCAUGAAGUCGGAAUUGCUAGUAAUGGCAGGUCAGCAUACUGCCGUGAAUACGUUCCCGGGCCUU
rnacentral:rRNA from 1 species